ensembl:lncRNA
GGAGAGUUCACUAAUUCAGUUGCUGGCAAGAGAGUAAGUUUUGCUACCUAAAGAAACACUUACUAAGUAGUUUCGCUGGUGAUCACAGCCAGUCAAAUGGCGGAAUAUUUUUUUCUUCUUCAGCUUCAAAGAGCACAGCUGACACAGGUAACAGCACGGAGGUGGAUUCCCAUCCACGCUCUGGCACUUAAUAAUAGCUUGUAGACCUGUGACAAACAUGCUCACACACAGUUUGGUGCAGUGAAUUUAAACCAAUGCAUCAUCUUUUGUAUGUGAUUAUUUUGCUAGAUUACAUAGUAUGCAGAUACACUCACCGAUAAGAGGCUUUCGACCAUUGUAAUUUUCUAGAAAAUCUUCUUUUGAUUGAAACUGAUCAGAAGGACUUUGAGUCUGAGUAAGAGGAGACUGGGCAAUUGGACUUUGUGAGAACACAAAGGUGUUUUCCUCUGCUAAGGUGUCUGAUUGAGGCUCCUCUGUAAAUAUAAAUGAGAAUUACACAAACACCAAAAAGAAUGAUAUUUUAUAUAUAUAAAUAAACUACCAUGUGCUUCCCAGCUGGUGUUGAUUGGUUCUUGUAAAUUAGACUCAUCAUGGAACAGACUUAAAUCAUGCGUUGUGGCCGGUUCCAGUGCUUCUGUUAGCAUUUGGGUUCUGAUCUGCUUGAUAACGAUCUCCACAUCUCUGACAGGCUCUGGACUAUCAGGUGAGCUUUCAAUCCUGAAAAAUCCAUGCCUGUUUGAUAGAUCCUGGGUUAACUCUGGUACCAUGUGGCUCACUGAAAGAGAUGGUGUUUGCCGCUGGAUUUCAUAUGGAAUGGAUUGGGCCAGGUGCAUUGGAUGUGAUUCAUAGCUGACUCCAAAUGACUGGACAGAAUUGUUCCCAUCAUCUUCACCAGCAUGCACAAUGUCAUUCUCGCCAAGAAUUCUGAUGGGGAUACACUGUCUUGGUGGUCUUACAACAGAGAUUGUCCUUGCUUCAGUACAACACUGGUUUUCAGAUGGCAUUAUGUAUCGUUGAAGGCUUCUAACUGGGAUUGGUUGAUGCUGAUUUAUGUGUUGGCUGAGGACUGGAGCUGGGGAGCUUUCUAGAAAAGGUUUUCUAGAUGAAACAUGAGAAUCCACUAGACUCUGAGGUGUAGAUACAUCCUGGCAUGUGAAUAAUGUUUUGACAGGACCUGCGGUUCUAUGGAGAGAUGGAUUUGGUGUUGGAUUGGUUGAGACGUGUUGGGGUUCAAUCCAACUUGAACACUUUGACCUCGAUGGUGUCGUAGAUACACACUGUGUUGGGACCAAACAUCUUAAAGUUGGAUGUUGUGCAGUCCCAUUCAUAUUGUCAGACUCUUGCUGCUCUUGAGCACUGGUUUCUUUACCUUUCACAGAACAUAUAAUACAAUACACCAAACAUAUAUCAGUAUCUACUUACUACAGUAUAAUAAUGAAACAGAUUAAGUCAUAUUAAACAUAUUGCAGAAUCCAUACCUUCAGACGGGCUGUUGUGAACAAGCAAAUUAGGUGCAUUGGGGUUUGGCUGAUCCUUGAUCUUCUUCAUCUGAACAAAAGCUAAGACAAUUGAGAAAAGAAGAUGUGAUGAGGGUUAAUAAAGAUACACAAGUCAAAAAUCACCUCCAAGUGCCACUAACCAGUUGUCUUUCCUUAAAUUGUUAAUUUAAUCUAACAUUUAGCACCAAUUUAUUUAAAGCAACAUUAAAAUAUGAAAAUGAUCAAAUCUCAUGUGAAC